GCUGGACGAAGCCAUACUAUCGCAGUGGAACGACCUGUUCUUUGUAGCGAUUAUUAAGUGUUUACACUGCUUAAAGUCUUUUAAAGGCAAUAUGCCAGGUCCCAUAGUUCAGUGCGGGACUGCCACAACGGUACCCGUGGGCUAAAGAAGUGGAUGGAAGAGUUUUGCCCUAUUCACGAGUGCAAUAAAGGAACCUCGCGCUGUCUUAGUGACCCGCCUUAUGUACUCGUCACAUUUCCUACUGAAAGAAAAGAUCCAGAACGUCGUGCCGAAUGGAUUAAAUUACAUCGACUUUACAACGCUCAAAGUAAUCAAUAUCUGCGUCACGCUCGGCCAUGUUUAUGAUAUGGGGUAUCCCGACCUUUGACCCGGACCAGCAUACCUUGCGUGCGGGGAGGGCCCCCAGACAUCCAACACAAACCAAAUCUCACUCUAAGGUCUGGUCACAAGUUGGCAGCCCUGUGUUUCUACCAGCAGACACUGAAAGGACUCUGAUAGUUUGCUUCAGCUCCAGAGACGGCAGGUGGGACGAGUCAACGGAGGCCUGGUGGACGAAGGCAUGCAGCUGAGUACAAUCCAGAAAACAACAGAGGAGGAGUGCAGCAGCCCAGGACCAGAACAAACAGAGUAGCAUCACCAAAGAACAACAGACUCUUCACAACCUGCUCAAACUCUUGGUACAGGACCUCACCACACGGAUCAAGAAGGUUUCCGUCUCAUUUCUACUCUGAAGCUCACCUUCUCCUGCUCAAACUGCUGACAAAUGUUUCUGCUGCUCUAAAGUCUGGUCUCCAGAACUUCCUAAAAACUCUCAAAGGCUCUUCUGCUGCAGGUUGCUUUGUAGAACUGUUCCAGAAAACCUCACUAAACCACAUGGAGGGGCCUCAAGAUAGUCGUCCAAAUGAAACCAUACAAAAACCAAACUAGCACAACCCAAACGCUAAAGUCUCCUGCAGCCUACCAGAGAACCUCUGAGAACAGAGAAUCAGUACAGGAACUCUUACCUUCUGGACAACCAACGUUGGUUCACAAACAAGAAUACAGAAUGUGUCUGACCAAAAACUUCUAAAGACUCACUACAGGCAAGAUAAUGACACAACUCAGCUGUACCAAAUCCACUAAUCACUGCACACAUUAGCACCAUGUGCUAACUGUGGCUAAAGAACCACCUUUACCAAGACAACUAUCCAGUACAAAGUCCUAAAACACACCAAGAAACACAUUAAAGACAAUUUUACUGCUGGAAGCUGCAAGCCAACGCCUAAAGAACAAACUAAAGCAAUGGAGCUAAACCCGGUUCAAUGGUGCAGAGAAGCAGAGGAAAUGUCUGACUGCAGAAAAACAAAGCAGGAAGACACUGAGCUGCUCAGGUGUUCCUGAUAACACCAAGCAGCCACCUGGACAGCCAAUAGGAACACAGCUUACUGGAAGUCCAGAGGGCUGGGUUAGUGAAGGAAAUUUAGUUUAAAGUUGAGGCAGAAAGUUAACAAAGAAAGUUGAAAACCAACUUCUGAUACCUGAAAUCUCUGAGUUUUCACACAAAGAACACCUGAACAUGUCAAACUGGUUUCAUAGUAGAACCAUCAUUGUAAAAACGUCAUAGUAUGAUGUGUUGCUCAAAAAACAUUAGGACCCGGCUGUCUAGGGUCGCCGAGGAGCAACACAAAAACAGGACAAACGCUGGUUUCCAGGGGGUUAGGCAGCUAUUUAUUUGAAAGAGUAAGUUUACAACAACACAACAUGUGAGCAGAAAAAUCACAAAGUCUGUCUUUAGUUCAGCUGAAAAUAUUAGUUUUUGUCUUUUUUAUUGAUCAAACUUUUCAGGAAGUAGAUGAAGAAUAAUUAAAGCUCUCAUGUAGAAGUCCAACUUAUUUUGGAUCCUUGUGGAGAGUUUAAUCUUAGAGUUUGUACAGCUGUUGAGUUUUUAGAGUCACAUGGAUUGUUUUGACAUUUAAUAACUGAGUCCUGAAAUAAAAUUACAGUUAUGGAUUUCUGUCAUUUAGUCUGGACUAAACAAAUAACAGCAGCAUAAAUCUCAAACAUCAUUAUGAGGAGUCUGGAUUGAGGUUUCUCACUUGAUAAUGAUCAAAACAUGAAAUUUAGGUUGGUUUAAAGGAAUAUUCCACCUUAAAUCUUUGAAUGUUGACCUAAAAGGUUGGUUUCAGGAAGUAUUCCACCUACAAGGUCCUCAAACAUCCACCUUAAAGGAACAUUCCACCAAAAAUCCUUGGACAUGCACCUAAAAUGUUGGUUUAACCGAGUAUUCCAUCCAAAAUCCUCAAAGAGACCUGAGGGGCUGGUUAAAAGGAAUAUUCCACCUAAAACCUUAAAUAUAGACCUGAAAGGGUGGUUUAGAAAAAAUCCUUCAGUGUAGACCAAAAAAGUUAGUAUGGAGAAAUAUUCCACCUGAAAUGUAGACCUGAGAAGUUGGUUCGGAAGAAUAUACCAUCCUAAACAUCCUUAAAUGUAGACUAAAAGACGGUUUGGAAGAAAAUUCCACCUAAAAUCCUCCAAUGUAGACCUAAAAGGUGAGUUUAAUGGUAUAUUCCACCUAAAAUUCACUACUGUAGACCUUGGAGGUUGGUCUGAUGGUAUAUUCCACCCAACAUCCUUGAACAUAAACUUAAAAAUUUCGUUCAAAGGAAUAUUUCACCUAAAAUCUUUCAAUGUAGACCAAAAAAUCUUGGUGUAAAGGAGUAUUCCACCUUAAAUGUAGACCUAAAGGAUGGUUUGGAGUAAUAUUCUACUCUAAAAUCUUCCAGUGUAGACCUAAAAGGUUGAUCUGAUGGUAUAUUCUACCCAACAUCCUGGAACAUUUACCUAAAAGGUUGGUUUAAUGGUAUAUUCCCAGAAGAACCCUUGAACAUCGGGCUUAAUGGUAUAUUCCACCCAAAAUACUUGGACAUAUACCAAGAAGUCAGUGUAAAGGAAAUGUAGACCUAACAGGAUUGUUUAAAGGAAUAUUUAAACGAUUAUUUUUAUUAUUUAAUAAUCUGUUAUCAGUCAGAACCCUGGCAAACUUAUUUUCAUCAUUUUUUUUUUUAGUGGAAGUCACAAAUAAAGGAGCUCUUGGUUUUUCCUGGCGUUACUGAGUCAAAAGCUGCUGUUUCAACACAGACACGUUCACAUGCAUCCACAAACCUCUCAGCACUCAAACAUCCACAGACAGGAGGCCGGCUGGACCGAGGCUCGGCGGCGUCCUCAGACCCACGAGUCGGGGAGUCGUUGAACUUGUUGGUCCGGUUUGAAGGCCUCCGUGUGGUCCAGUAGAAGUCCACGUAGUCGGUGUUGGCUUUGAACCGCAGCGACUGGCCGCCAUCAGGUGGACCGGCUCGUCCUCGUAGGACUCCUCCUGUAGCCUUGAGGGGACCACAGGAACAUUCAGUAGCUGUUGGAGUUCUUCCUGUCAGGAUCCUGGUAGAACGGCUCUGAAGAAUCUUGUACUUGUAUUAUCUGGAACAAUCUAACAGCCUAAACUGUUAACAGCAGUUUAAAGAAGCAAACACACAGGCAUAGAUUAGGACUCAAACUAGAUUUAUUUUAGAAAAAUCAGCUUAGAGGCAUUUGUUCACACGUGGCUGAAUAGGAGGCUGUCCAAUCAGAUUUGAGGUCUUCACUCUGUAGGUUGGUUGUUUGGUGAGACUCUUGGACCUCCAUCAGCUGACGUGGAUGUUUAAUGGUCUUCUUCUCUAGUGCCAGAUGAUUCAUCCAUGAAUUCAGCAGCUACAGACUAAAAUGAAACUCAUGCUGCCGUGAUUGAAUUCCUGUUCCAGAUCAAAUGUUCAGAGCUCACUUUGAAUGCAUGCCGUCUGCUGUCUGAUAGUUUUUCUCAUUGUAGUCUUCAAUAAAGUCUUUUUCCUCAUGUCA